GAUGAACGCUGGCGGCGUGCCUAAUACAUGCAAGUCGAGCGAACAGAUAAGGAGCUUGCUCCUUUGACGUUAGCGGCGGACGGGUGAGUAACACGUGGGUAACCUACCUAUAAGACUGGGAUAACUUCGGGAAACCGGAGCUAAUACCGGAUAACAUUUGGAACCGCAUGGUUCUAAAGUGAAAGUUGGUUUUGCUAUCACUAAUAGAUGGACCCGCGCCGUAUUAGCUAGUUGGUAAGGUAACGGCUUACCAAGGCGACGAUACGUAGCCGACCUGAGAGGGUGAUCGGCCACACUGGAAGUGAGACACGGUCCAGACUCCUACGGGAGGCAGCAGUAGGGAAUCUACCGCAAUGGGCGAAAGCCUGACGGAGCAACGCCGCGUGAGUGAUGAAGGGUUUCGGCUCGUAAAACUCUGUUAUUAGGGAAGAACAAACGUGUAAGUAACUGUGCACGUCUGGACGGUACCUAAUCAGAAAGCCACGGCUAACUACGU
rnacentral:rRNA from 1 species